CGAGGCGCGCCCUAGAGCGAAAUCGGUGACUGGGGCUAAGUCGUAACAAGGUAGCCGUACCGGAAGGUGCGGCUGGAACACCUCCUUUCUGGAG
rnacentral:rRNA from 1 species